GGUGACAUGGCUGAAUGGUUAAAGCACCGCUCUGCAAAAGCGGCUGUGUAGGUUCGAUUCCUACUGUCACCUCCA
rnacentral:tRNA from 1 species